rnacentral:rRNA from 1 species
CAUGCGAGUCACGGGGGCCCGCAAGGGUAACCGGCGAACGGGUGCGUAACACGUGAGCAACCUGCCUUUGUGUGGGGGAUAGCCGGGCUAACGCCCGGGUAAUACCGCAUACGGUUGCCGAGGGGAGUCCCUUGGCAAAGAAACCUCCGGGGCACAAAGAGGGGCUCGCGGCCUAUCAGCUAGUUGGUGAGGUAAUGGCUCACCAAGGCGACGACGGGUAGCUGGUCUGAGAGGAUGGCCAGCCACAUUGGGACUGAGAUACGGCCCAGACUCCUACGGGAGGCAGCAGUGGGGAAUAUUGCGCAAUGGCCGCAAGGCUGACGCAGCGACGCCGCGUGUGGGAUGACGCCUUUCGGGGUGUAAACCACUGUUGCCCGGGACGAACAUCCCUUUUCGAGGGGACUGACGGUACCGGGUGAGGAAGCACCGGCUAACUCCGUGCCAGCAGCCGCGGUAAUACGGAGGGUGCGAGCGUUGUCCGGAAUCAUUGGGCGUAAAGGGCGCGUAGGUGGCGGGACAAGCGUGCGGUGAAAGCUCGGGGCUCAACCCCGAGUCGGCCGUGCGAACUGUUUUGCUUGAGCACUGUAGAGGCAGGCGGAAUUCCGGGUGUAGCGGUGGAAUGCGUAGAGAUCCGGAAGAACACCGGUGGCGAAGGCGGCCUGCUGGGCAGUAGCUGACACUGAGGCGCGACAGCGUGGGGAGCAAACAGGAUUAGAUACCCUGGUAGUCCACGCCGUAAACGAUGGGCACUAGGCGCUUGGGGGAGCGACCCCCCGAGGGCCGGCGCUAACGCAUUAAGUGCCCCGCCUGGGGAGUACGGCCGCAAGGCUGAAACUCAAAGGAAUUGACGGGGGCCCGCACAAGCGGUGGAGCAUGUGGUUUAAUUCGACGCAACGCGAAGAACCUUACCUAGGCUUGACAUACAUGGGAAAGCCCUCAGAAACGGGGGCCCCUCUUCGGAGCCCAUGCACAGGUGCUGCAUGGCUGUC